CACGACUCCGCUCCCAGCUUACUGCGUGCUCAACUCAGGCCGCCUCCCCCGAGCGGUGGCGCAGCUGCGCAGCCGAGCAAGGCGCCGCUUUUCUCGGUUACAGUGUCAUCCCCCGCCCGCUCGCAAGGUCAACAAGGCUCUCUCUACAGUUUACGCACAAACACCGACCCUGCGUCCGCCUGCAGACCCCGUAAUGGCGCCCUUAUUCCGGCAGGAGUCAGCACACAGCUUCCGCUGGUAUGGCAGAGCGAAAAAAGCAUUAUUUUCUCUUUCAAACAUUUAAAUGUACCGAAAUAUAGCACUUAUUGCACUUUUUAAACUUAGCAACGGCUUGAUGUCUCAUUCGCAUUUUUGUCAAAAAUUCGCUGUAACUGCUAAAAUUCGUUAAAAUAGCAAUUUGUGUAAAAUGAUGCAAAUACAUUAAAAUUUUAAAUACGGUAUCGUCGCAGCAUUUAAAUUUGCAGUAAUAAAAAUAUAAAACCACAGCCUUUUAAAAUGGAUUGGACAGUGAGCUUAGCUUAAAAGUAAAGACGAGAGCGGGCACUUCUGCCUUCCUUCGCCCCAAAUCCCUCACUGCAGCGCCGCCAUGAAUGUUACAAAGACUCGGGGAGAGACGAUUAGAAAAUCGUCAAAAACGUCGUCAAAACAAAACGAAUCACUCACCUUUCCCGUCAGUAACGAACACGCGAUGUUAUUAAUCAAAGCUAAAGUCGCGUUAGUGGUUUUAUGGAUCUUUAAGUGUCUUUUUUUCGGCAGUAAACCCCGGGGAGUCAGGUCGAAACGGAUCCGACAAAAGGAGCGUCUGGUUCGGUAUGAAACUCCGCCCAGCGCCGCAGGGGGAGGAACUCCGAAGAAAAAGUGGCGAGCGAGAAGGAGACAAAGGCGGGGGCUUAAAGUAACUAACACGCGGCGUUUUUAUUAAAUCAUUUUAAUUAUGGUACUUUAAUUUCGUAUUAUCUUAUUAAAAUAUUAUUGAAAUUGUUGGCACAAUAUUCAAUCCCUUGUUUUAGAACACUGAGGUUUUAUAAAUAGGUUAAAAUUUUUAAAGCGUGUUUUUUUAACAUUGGUAAUUAAUUCAUUUAUAUAAACCAAAUCCAUUUGUUUUGAACAGCUGCGUUGGUGUCCCACGUUGACGCUCUGCACAAGCACCUAAAUAGCGCCCUUUUACUCCAAGCGGGAUCCACCUUUUUCGGGCAGGCCAAUCUGCGCAGCACGACGGUACGGGUGCUUAAACGCACCAGUCGGUGACCAUGUAGUCUUGGUUAUUCGCUCCACUAACAGUGCAUGCAUACCAGUUACGAGAUAGAAACGGUCGGUAGCCUGUUUUACGAAUAUGCUUUGUGUGUCUGAUAAAAUUUAAAAUACAGUUUAGCCUGAAAUAGCCUACUGUCGGAUAGAUGCAUAAUACGCACGACAGCUGUCGGAAUGCGCUAAGAACAACAGUGUCAGUGAAGUAAGUUACACCACAAAGUAGGGUUCCCACGCUACCCGCAGUUUCACAUACAGUAUGCGUUUCCGUUUACAAUAAUUUGUUUUUGGCGCUAUUUGUACACGUAUUGGGCUG